AUUGAACGCUGGCGGCAGGCCUAACACAUGCAAGUCGAGCGGUAACAGGAAGCUUCCUCCUGUAUCCCGCGGCGGACGGGGGAGUAAUGCCUAUGAAUCGGCCUGGUAGUGGGGGAUGAGGUCAGGAAAUGGGAACGGAAACCGCAAACGCCCAGAGGGGGAAAGCGAGGGAUCUGCGGACUCCGCGCUAUCGCCUGCGCCUAGGUCGGAUUAGCUAGUAGGUGGGGUAACGGCCUACCUAGGCGACGAUCCGUAGCUGGUCUGAGAGGAUGAGCAGCCACACUGGAACUGAGACACGGUCCAGACUCCUACGGGAGGCAGCAGUGGGGAAUAUUGCACAAUGGGCGCAAGCCUGAUGCAGCCAUGCCGCGUGUAUGAAGAAGGCCUUCGGGUUGUAAAGUACUUUCAGCGGGGAGGAAGGGAGUAAAGUUAAUACCUUUACUCAUUGACGUUACCCGCAGAAGAAGCACCGGCUAACUCCGUG
rnacentral:rRNA from 1 species